UAGCCUAAUGGUUAAGGCUUUAGAUCGUAAAUCCGGAUGCAGCGGGUUCGAUUCCCGU
rnacentral:tRNA from 1 species